ACCAUUGUUUUGUAACCAAACUGUCAUUCUUUCACUUAAAAAUCGUAAACACUCUCCAAAUUAUUAGCUUCUAACAAUGUUAUCUCCUGCAAUUCUGUACAUUCUCCACGAAUCAAAUCGUGCUUUAACAAUUACAGCCAUAUGUCAACACUUGAAACACCACUUUCCUGAUGUAGUACCUUCGGAGGUCUCUCUCCGCACUGCCGUCAUAGAAAGUGUUCUCCAAUCAUGUGACUUUGGUUUUAUCCUGUACGAUCAUCGUAAUCAUGGCUACAAACUUGCCUAUCGUUGGCAAACGAAAGAAACUGUACAGUUUGAAGCACAGCUACGUCAUGUGCUCUCCGAAUGGAAAAAGCCAAUCAGAAAAAAACAGUACAAACUGCUGAAACUUUCCAACGGAAAUUAAAAAGGACCAAAUUAGUCGAGAUCGCCAGGGCGGAACAAAUCUGCUGGAAUGAGUGAAAAUAAACAUUCCUUCACUGUGAUAUGAAAAGCGAAA